CCCAAAAAGAUCAGCUCUUCAUCAUGGCCCUAUCUCUGCUCUUGGCCUUCUUUUUCUUAUGGUGCCCAGGAGCCAACUCACAGUAUACCUUGACUCAACCUGCGGCACAAUCGUUUCCCCCAGGACAACCAGCAAAGAUCUCCUGUACCAUGAGCCAAGACACCCAAGUGGGCAGCUAUACCAUAUAUUGGUACCAACAGAAGGCUGGAGAGAGCCCCAAAUACCUUCUCUAUGAUACUGGCAGUAGUGGGAGGUUCACGGGGUCCAAGGACACCUCUGCCAAUGCAGCCUAUUUAACCAUUACAAACCUCCAGGAUGUGGAUGAGGCCGAUUACUAUUGUGGUGGUGCUUACAGCAGUGGCGGCAACUGGUGGUAUCACAGUGAUACACUCACAUGCAGAAGGUCCAAAGAUGCCUCUGCCAACAUAGCCUAUUUAACCAUUACAAACCUCCAGGCUGAGGCCGAUUACUAUUGUGGUAGUUAUUACGGCAGUGGCAGCAACUUGGGGUAUCCACAGAGAUACAUUCACAUGCAGAAGUGA